rnacentral:tRNA from 1 species
GCGGGCGUCGUAUAAUGGUUAUUACGCAGCCUUGCCAAGGCUAUGACGGCGGUUCGAUUCCGCUCGCCCGCU